rnacentral:rRNA from 1 species
CCUACGGGAGGCAGCAGUGGGGGAUAUUGCACAAUGGGGGGAACCCUGAUGCAGCGACGCCGCGUGGGUGAAGAAGCGUUUCGGUGCGUAAAGCUCUAUCAGCAGGGAAGAAAAUGACGGUACCUGACUAAGAAGCCCCGGCUAACUACGUGCCAGCAGCCGCGGUAAUACGUAGGGGGCAAGCGUUAUCCGGAUUUACUGGGUGUAAAGGGGGCGUAGACGGCAAAGCAAGCCUGAAGUGAAAGCCCGCGGCCCAACCCCGGGACUGCUUUGGAAACUGCCCGGCUAGAGUGCUGGAGGGGUAGGCGGAAUUCCUAGUGUAGCGGUGAAAUGCGUAGAUAUUAGGAGGAACACCAGUGGCGAAGGCGGCUUACUGGACAGUAACUGACGUUGAGGCUCGAAAGCGUGGGGAGCAAACAGGAUUAGAUACCCUAGUAGUC